UGACAGUUGGUUAUUGUUUUUGAUACUAGGAAAUAUAGAGGAAGUUAAUUGAAAGUGUAUUGAUGACAAAUGAUUUAGAUAAUGUAGGGAUAUAUGGUUUAGCGUAUCCUCCACCUAUUUAGGAAGAGCUGCAGUGGCAAGAGGAAUUUGCGUGAAAUUGAAGAAAGGGCUGAAGAAAACAGCUUUGGAUUGCAUCCACUCCAGCCCAGAGGAGAUCACAGAGCCUUUCCAAGUGAAAUGACUUUAACAAAUAAAAAGAAAUGGACAUUGGUUUCUGAGCCAGAGGUGACACCCUUUGUCCAGGUAGGAAAAUUCAGAUUCUGUUGUGGUUCCUCGCUUGUGUCACACCAGGAACGUGCCACAGUCUGUGUUAAAUGGGGAGAAACAUGAAAUGGCAGCUUCAUCUUCUCCUGGCAUGGCUGGGGUGGAGCUGGGACACUUGGGAGAGGCUGGGAGGCUUUAAUGUGGGAGCAGAAAUAAAGGGAAAAUGGGGAUGGAGGCUUGGAUGCAGCUCAGCUCACAGCUCCAGCCAGGCUCUGACCUCUCUGCGCAUCAAAUUCUGCAGUGGAUCCAAGAAGAAAGAUCUUUUCCUUGGCACAGGGUGUAGGAAGAGUCUUCCCCUUGUUGUGGAGCUCCAGGCAGAAGAGUUUUCUCUUUGCUCCUCACUUGGCUGCCCUUGGGAGGAUUCACCAAACGCUCUGAGGGAUCCAGGGCCAAAGGGCGGAGGGGUGGAGGCCGUCGAACACCAAGGUACAGUUGGACAGAUUGAGUGA
rnacentral:lncRNA from 1 species